GACGAACGCUGGCGGCGUGCUUAACACAUGCAAGUCGUACGGUAAGGCCCUUUCGGGGGUACACGAGUGGCGAACGGGUGAGUAACACGUGAGUAACCUGCCCACAACUAUGGGAUAACGCUAGGAAACUGGUGCUAAUACUGGAUAUGUGCUCCUGCUGCAUGGUGGGGGUUGGAAAGCUCCGGCCGUUGUGGAUGGACUCGCGGCCUAUCAGCUUGCUGGUGGGGCAAUGGCCUACCAAGGCGGCGACGGAUAGCCGACCUGAGAGGGGGACCGGCCACACGGGAACUGAGAGACGGUACAGACUCAGACGGGAGGCAGCAGGAGGGAAUCGUCCGAAAUGGGCGAGAGCCUGACGGAGCAACGCCGCGUGAGUGAUGAAGGUCUUCGGAGCGUAAAACUCUGUUAUUAGGGAAGAACAUAUGGGUAAGUAACUGUGCACAUCUUGACGGUACCUAAUCAGAAAGCCACGGCUAACUACGUG
rnacentral:rRNA from 1 species